GAUGAACGCUGGCUACAGGCUUAACACAUGCAAGUCGAGGGGAAACGACGGGGAAGCUUGCUUCCCCGGGCGUCGACCGGCGCACGGGUGAGUAACGCGUAUCCAACCUGCCUCUGACUGAGGGAUAACCCGUCGAAAGUCGGCCUAAUACCUCAUGGCAUCGUCUGCGGGCAUCCAACGACGAUUAAAGAUUUCAUCGGUCAGAGAUGGGGAUGCGUCUGAUUAGCUUGUUGGCGGGGUAACGGCCCACCAAGGCGACGAUCAGUAGGGGUUCUGAGAGGAAGGUCCCCCCAAUUGGAACUGAGACACGGUCCAAACUCCUACGGGAGGCAGCAGUGAGGAAUAUUGGUCAAGGGGGGAGAGCCUGAACCAGCAAAGUAGGGGGCAGGAUGACGGCCCUUUGGGUUUUAAACUGCUUUUAUGCGGGGAUAAAGUGGGGGACGUGUCCUUCAUUGCAGGUACCGAAUGAAUAAGGACCGGCGAAUUCCGU
rnacentral:rRNA from 1 species